AUUGAACGCUGGCGGCAGGCCUAACACAUGCAAGUCGAACGGUAACAGGGAUCAGCUUGCUGAUUCGCUGACGAGUGGCGGACGGGUGAGUAAUGUCUGGGAAACUGCCUGAUGGAGGGGGAUAACUACUGGAAACGGUAGCUAAUACCGCAUAACGUCGCAAGACCAAAGAGGGGGAGUUUAGGGCCGCUUGCCAUCGGCUGUGACCAGAUGGGAUUAGCUAGUAGGUGGGGUAACGGCUAACCUAGGCGACGAUCCCUAGCUGGUCUGAGAGGGUGACCGGCCACACUGGAACUGAGACACGGUCCAGACUCCUACGGGAGGCAGCAGUAGGGAAUAUUGCGCAAUGGGCGCAAGCCUGAUGCAGCCACGCCGCGUGUGUGAAGAAGGCCUUCGGAUUGUAAAGUUCUGUCAUCGGGGAGGAAGAGAUGAAAGUUAAUCCCUGUACGCAUUGACGUUACCCGCAGAAGAAGCACCGGCUAACUCCGUG
rnacentral:rRNA from 1 species